AUUCAAGCCAGCAACGGCUACCCUCUUUGGGUCCCCUCCCUUUGUAUGGGAGCUCUGUUUUCACUCUAUUAAAUCUUGCAACUGCACUGUCUUCUGGUCCAUGUUUGUUACUGCUCGAGCUGAGCUUUCGCUCCCCGUCCACCACUGCCGUUUGCUACCGUGGCAGACCUGCCGCUGACUUCCAACCCUCCAGAUCCAGCAGGGUGUCUGCUGUGCUCCUGAUCCAGCGAGGCGCCCAUUGCUGCUCCAAAUCGGGCUAAAGGCUUGCCAUCAUUCCUGCACGGUUAAGUGCCCGGGUUGGUCGUAAUCGAGCUGAACACUUGUCACUGGGUUCCACGGUUCUCUUCCGUGACCCAUGGCUUCUAAUAGAGCUAUAAAACUCACCGCAUGGCCCAAGAUUCCAUUCUUUGGAAUCCGUGAGGCCAAGAACCCCAGGUCAGAGAACACGAGGCUUGCCACCAUGUUGGAAGCGACCUGCCGCCAUUUUGGAAGCAGCCCACCAUCAUCUUGGGAGCUCUGGGAGCAAGGACCCCUGUUGGAGGCAGCAUGCCUGCUUCAGCCCAGCCUGGCUACCAGGCUGAAGGAACCAACACACAGAGGACUAAAGCAGAGACGAUGAACCCAAGUUGAUGCUCAACCCUGCUACCUUUGGCACCCUGGUUGGAAAGCUCUGAGGGCAUGCUGCUUCUGUAUUCUCAGGCAUGCUGUAUGGGCACUGCCAGCCAGCUUCAGAGAUGGGUCCAGGUCCUUUUAGACAUGUUAGUUGAUGCCCAACCUCUAGGGACACAAUUUCUUUCUGCAGUGGAUUCAUGACCUAACCUGGGCAAAUGAGCCUUGAGAGGACAUAUGCUAGAAGCUCAUGGAAAAGAAACUUUCUUGCUUUUCUGAAAAAGCUACUGAGAGAGCCCCUUUACUCUUUCUACAGGAUCUGGAGGAGGAAGCAGGCAGGCCCUGGGUCUACUGGCAACCAUCUUGUGAUCAUGAGUUGAGACUAUAUUACCAGGAAAUGAUCCCUACAGAAGGCAGAGUGCAGAGAGGAAGAAAACAAUCUGAGGACAUUAUUGAGUGCUGUAUUAAGCGCAGCAAAUUACAUGGGCCAAUAAAUACCUUUUCUUUCUUAAGCCUGUUGUUAUAACUGAAUGCAUCCUACUAUAAUGGUUAGAAAAUAAAAUAUUUUUAAAAUAGGCCUCUGUUACUUUUUUAACUUUACAGAAAUAACUAAAAGCAAACAACAACAUCAAAACUCAAAGAAUUAUUUUUUAAAAUUCCAUAAUAAGAACUGUAAAAAAUAGGAGAAACUUUCUUUCUAACAGGAGCCUAUUUCUAGAAACCAAUUAAAUCAUUACAAGUAAUAACAAUUUCUCUUUACAGAGUACCACAUGCCAAGCCAUGUACUAAGCAUAUUAUAUGCAGUAUCUCAUUUAAUCCACACAACAAUCUCAAGAGGGUUCUAUAAAUAUCCUCAUUUUACAGAUGAGGAAACAAAGAUUCCAAGAAUUUAAAUAAUUUGUUUAAUGUUGCACAGUAAGAAAAAGACUAAACAAAGAUUGAGUCCUGAUCAUCUAACUCUGAAACACCUACUCUAUACCAGUUCACACUCUGCCUUUCUAAGCAAGUAGCAUGCAUAGCUCUAAUCCGUACACCACCUUACCAGGUAGGGCUUACAGCAGAUGAGGAAAUUAACACUCACAGACAUUAUGUAACAUGAGGGAGGUCCCACAGCUAGCUAGUAAUUAUACAAAAAGAUAAGCCACAGGGCACAGAGCGUCGUCUCAGAGAUUAACAGGCAAGAUGAUGAAUACAUGGAAAAAGCCACCAAAGCUUGGCACUCAAAGAGCCCUUAAAGAUUCCCAGUUCAUAAAAAAAAAUUAGCUGCGUGUGGCGGCAGGCACCUGUAAUCCCAGUUACUCGGGAGGCUGAGGCAGGAGAAUCGCUUGAACCCGGGAGGCAGAGAUUGCACUGAGCCGAGAUCGCACCACUGCACUCCAGCCUGGACGACAGAGUGAGACUCCAUCUCAAAAAAAAAAAAAAAAAAAAAAGAUUCCCAGUUCAUCACCUUCUUUUUGUUCUUGAAGAACUGAGACCCAGAGACAUUUCUUAUCUUGCCCAGGGCAACACAGCCAGUAGGGGCAGAGGUACGACGACACAAGUCUUUGUUAAUCAACAUGUUUUUCUAAUACACAAGACUGCCUUUGAUGAACUGCAUUUGCAGGGCACCUGCUGAAUACACUUGAUAUGGGAACUUUUUCCUGUCUUAAUGGAGUAGAUCCAGCCUCCAGUACCUGUUUGUCUUAAUAGAGUCCCCUAAUUUUCCCUACAGAAACAACCUCUUUCCUCCUGCGUGCAGCCUUGAGAGGGCUGGUAAAUCCCCCUCCCCUGGACAUGCGACUUCAGUCACAACAAUUGAAAUUUCUCUCCUGGGAAUUUGUAAUUUGUCUAUGCUUUAUUUUGAUAAUAAAUCUUUGUUUUCCCCCAAGGAAUUUGGAAUCGAUUUCCAUUGUCCACAACCUAAGAACCUAUAACACUUAAGGCCUUUUUCAGUUGCAAGUGUUAGGAAACCCAAGCCAAA
rnacentral:lncRNA from 10 species